rnacentral:rRNA from 1 species
UAAAGUUGUUGCGGUUAAAAAGCUCGUAGUCGGAGGUGUGUCUCGGACGGUCGGUUCGCCGCUUGUCGGUGUUCAACUGGCCGGUCCGGACGUCCUGCCGGUGGGGCUGUAAAAGGCUCCGUUAUCCUUCUUUGGUCCUCUUCAUUGAGUGCCUUGGUGGGCCGGCACGUUUACUUUGAACAAAUUAGAGUGCUCAAAGCAGGCCGUUGGUCGCCUGAAUACUGUGUGCAUGGAAUAAUGGAAUAGGACCUCGGUUCCAUUUUGUUGGUUUUCAGAACUCGAGGUAAUGAUUAAUAGGGACGGACGGGGGCAUUCGUAUUGCGACGUUAGAGGUGAAAUUCUUGGAUCGUCGCAAGACGAACCGAUGCGAAAGCAUUUGCCAAGAACGUUUUCGUUGAUCAAGAACGAAAGUUAGAGGUUCGAAGGCGAUCAGAUACCGCCCUAGUUCUAACCAUAAACGAUGCCAGCUAGCCAUCCGUCGAAGUUCCUUAUAUGACUCGACGGGCAGCUUCCGGGAAACCAAAGCUCUUGGGUUCCGGGGGAAGUAUGGUUGCAAAGCU